rnacentral:rRNA from 1 species
GUGCCAGCCGCCGCGGUAAUACCGGCAGCCCAAGUGAUGGCCGAUCUUAUUGGGCCUAAAGCGUCCGUAGCUGGCUUCGCAAGUCCGUCGGGAAAUCCAUCAGCCCAACUGAUGGGCGUCCGGCGGAAACUACACGGCUUGGGACCGGAAGGCUCGAGAGGUACGUCCGGGGUAGGAGUGAAAUCCCGUAAUCCCGCACGGACCACCGAUGGCGAAAGCACUUCGAGAAGACGGCUCCGACAGUGAGGGACGAAAGCCAGGGUCUCCAACCGGAUUAGAUACCCGGGUAGUCC